UAAGGAAUAUUGGUCAAUGGAGGCAACUCUGAACCAGCCAUGCCGCGUGCAGGAUGACUGCCCUAUGGGUUGUAAACUGCUUUUAUCCGGGAAUAAACCUACUUACGUGUAAGUAGCUGAACGUACCGGAGGAAUAAGGAUCGGCUAACUCCGUG
rnacentral:rRNA from 1 species